rnacentral:rRNA from 1 species
UACGGGGGGAGCAAGCGUUGUUCGGAUUUACUGGGCGUAAAGGGCGCGUAGGCGGUUUGACAAGUCUGAUGUGAAAUCUAUGGGCUCAACCCAUAGCCUGCAUUAGAAACUGUCGGACUUGAGUAUGGGAGAGGUGAGUGGAAUUUCCGGUGUAGCGGUGAAAUGCGUAGAUAUCGGAAGGAACACCUGUGGCGAAAGCGGCUCACUGGACCAUAACUGACGCUGAGGCGCGAAAGCUAGGGGAGCAAACAGG